AAAAUGCAUGAUUUUCGGGUUAAAUGGGGGAUUUCGGAAGAGAAAAUGCGUGUUGUUUGAGAUAAACGGGGAUUUUUGUAGAGCGAAUGCAUGAUUUUCACGUUAAAUGGGGGAUUUUCCAAGAGAAAAUGUGUAAUUUCCAGGUUAAAUGGGGGGUUUUGGAAGAGAAAAUGCAUGACUUUCUGUUAAAUGGAGGAUUUUUGUGGUAAAAAUGCGUGGUUUCCAGGUUAAAGCAGGGAUUUUCGAUGAGAAAAUACAUGAUUUGGGGGUUAAUUUUUUUUUUUUUUUUUAAGGGAAAACCUGUGAUUUUUGAUUAAUUAUGUAUUUUUGAAGUGAAAAUGCGUGAUUUUCAGGUUAGAUCAGGGAUUCUUGAAGAGAAAAUGCAUCAUUGUCGGGUUACAUGGGGGAUUUCCACAGAGAAAUAGCCUUUUUUUCCUGGUUAAAUGGGGGAUUUUCGAAGAGAAAAUGCAUGAUUUUCAGGUUACAUGGGAGAUUCUUGUAGCGCAAGUGUUUGAUUUUGGGGUUAAAU
rnacentral:lncRNA from 7 species